rnacentral:rRNA from 1 species
AGUGAACGCUGGCGGUAGGCCUAACACAUGCAAGUCGAACGGCAGCACAGGAGAGCUUGCUCUCUGGGUGGCGAGUGGCGGACGGGUGAGGAAUACAUCGGAAUCUACUCUGUAGUGAGGGAUAACGUAGGGAAACUUACGCUAAUACCGCAUACGACCUACGGGUGAAAGCAGGGGAUCUUCGGACCUUGCGCGAUUGAAUGAGCCGAUGUCGGAUUAGCUAGUUGGCGGGGUAGAGGCGCACCAAGGCGACGAUCCGUAGCGGGUCUGAGAGGAUGAUCAGCCACACUGGAACUGAGACACGGUCCAGACUCCUACGGGAGGCAGCAGUGGGGAAUAUUGGACAAUGGGCGCAAGCCUGAUCCAGCCAUACCGCGUGGGUGAAGAAGGCCUUCGGGUUGUAAAGCCCUUUUGUUGGGAAAGAAAUCCAGCUGGUUAAUACCCGGUUGGGAUGACGGUACCCAAAGAAUAAGCACCGGCUAACUUCGUGCCAGCAGCCGCAGUAA